AAACUGAAGAGUUUGAUCCUGGCUCAGAUUGAACGCUGGCGGCAUGCUUUACACAUGCAAGUCGAACGGGGUGGCGGGGCAACCUGUCAUUCAGUGGCGAACGGGUGAGUAAUGCAUCGGAACGUGUCCCGUAGUGGGGGAUAACGCCGCGAAAGCGGCGCUAAUACCGCAUACGCUCUACGGAGGAAAGCCGGGGACCUGCAAGGGCCUGGUGUUAUGGGAGCGGCCGAUGUCCGAUUAGGUUGUUGGUGGGGUAACGGCCUACCAAGCCUGCGAUCGGUAGCUGGUCUGAGAGGAUGAUCAGCCACACUGGGACUGAGACACGGCCCAGACUCCUACGGGAGGCAGCAGUGGGGAAUUUUGGACAAUGGGGGCAACCCUGAUCCAGCCAUGCCGCGUG
rnacentral:rRNA from 1 species